UUUUUUUCAAAUAAGGGAAUGAAUAAACAAAUAAAAGUGUGUAGAAAGAAAUUAAUGACGACAUUUAGUUCCAAUGAUCGAUAAUAUUCCCCAAAACAACAUUCAUCUGGCAAGUUUCCAAUAACUUUCACACAGAGAAGCAGAUCAAUGAAAUACAACAGAUAAAAAGGUUAACACAAUAAUAAUCUGCCUCAUUUGCAUAUGCAGACUCUCAGAAAACAAGAUCCAAAAAGUGUCGUCUUUCAUAUUCGACAGGGGGAAGUUUCACACGUGACUCUAAAAAAAUAUGAAUUAGCGUCGCUAACAUGAAGCGCUGCUCUGUGGGACACAUGACAUGACGUUUAACGAGCGGUCAGCUGCAUCUGGACGUUAACGUCUCACCUUCCUCCACGUGUCUCCACUUCGUCCGCUGCCAUCGUACCUGCUGAGAGGAGUUUACUGCUCUGAAUGACCACAGGAACCGGUUCCUCCUGUGCUUCCAGCUAAUGAGUAAAGAACACGGUUACCUGAUGCCACGCAUCCUCCUCAGAGAGAGAGAGAGGGAGCCGGCCGGGCGAUCAAGGGGUCGUGCUGCAGCUGCUCUCGUCCAACUUCCACAUCCUCCCGUUUGCAGCCCAAAAAUCUCUGAGGCGCCGAGAGAACCGAAAGAGUCGGAUGCACGCUGAGAAAAUACAAACUCCCUUCAGAUGGUCAUCAGAUGGUGCUGAUGGUGCAGGAGGUGCUGAUGGUGCAGGAGAUGCUGAUGGUGCAGGUGGUGCUGAUGGUGCAGGAGGUGCUGAUGGUGCAGGAGGUGCAGCGCCUGCACCAGUGGCGGCCACUGCCUCCUCAAACACACACACACACACAUUAAUUGUGGUGCUCUGCAGACUUUGCCUCUUCUGGACGGAGAGCAUCUUCUUCUCAAAGGAAUUUAACGCGUCAUCGUUUUGAGGUUCUGAGGUUUUUCGGCUUCAGGGGUCGCGUGUUUGUUUCAUUCAUCGGGUCUGUUCUCUCUCGCCCGGAGCUCUGAGGCUCAUUAAAGCAGCGCCGCACAGGGGGGAGACGGGGGGGAGGAGGAGGGGGGGGGGAAGAACUCCCCCAGCAGCCCGCAUUGAUCCCAAAACCCAGAACAACUGAAAUAUAAAUGAAGGAUUCUCACGAAGGAUUCCUUUGUCCCAAUCGAACACUUUCUCCUCAUUACGCUCCAGAUUUAAGACUGCAAUGUUGUUGUGGUUUAUUUAUUCAUUAUAUAUGAUAUCAUAUCAUUAUGAACCCUGUGAGAAACCAAUGAGUUCAUCUUCUGAUCACCUGACAAACUGAUUACACAAAAGUAGGAAGUAAUGAUGACAAACGGAACCUGAACUCUCUGUCGAGCAGUUUCCAUGUAGAUGUUCUGUCAUUAUCUCUCAUGUCACCUCCAUAUUUACAGAAGAUGAUUAAAAAAGAGACAAGAGACACAAAGUGACGCGGUUAAUAACAGGACGAGAGAGAGAGAGGCGUUUAUACAACGAGGAAACACAGCAGAUGGAAACGUUACGCAGUGUUCAUGCAUGUUGAUACACAUGUGGGUCGUAAAUAUUACUGGAUGCUUCCUGUUAUAUAUCAGGAUUAUUAUAAAAGCCUGAUGACAAACAAAACAGUCGAUCUAAUUUCAAUUUUUAUACAUGCAUAUAUAUAUAUAUAUAUAUAUAUAUAUAUAUAUAUAUGUGUUAUGCUAUGUUAUGUUUUUGCUCCAUAAUUCUUCAUGCACCAAUAAAACACACAAAAACACUAGUGAAUAAAUAUCAGCCGCAGGACAUCGGAUCAUAAGUGAAUAAAUAAUAAUAAAGUUGACCCACUAACAACUGUAAUAAAUAAGUAAUAGAAGUUCCUCCUUUGCCCCGAAACCUCUUGGUGGUUUAACGUGACUCAGCUUUUAACAAUGAGCACUUUUAUUACCAGGAAUGUGUGUUUAUUGUGGAUAUUUUAAGUUAUUUGUGUCUAAGUGAGGAAAGGGGGAGCGGGGGGGAGAGAGAGAGAGAGAGAGAGAGAGAGAGAGAGAGAGAGAGAGAGAGUGAGAGAGGGAGGGGGAGAGAGGGAGGGAGGGAGUCGCCAUUGCUGUCUCCGCGGAGAGGAGGAGGGAGGGCAGCGGGGGAGAGGAGCAGGUUUCGGCUUACAUCGCAUACCUCUCCGACCGACUCUCCAACUCACCGGCCGCCCGGAGCCGCGCAGGACUCCCCGGGCAGCGGAACCCGAGCCGGGAACCACCUCGCUCUCUGGCGGAGGCGGAUCGUGGAUGUCGACGCGGGACGGUUUCUCCGCCUGGCCGGUAGCGCGGGGACGCGUCCUGCUCUCUUCCCGUGGUAUGUGGAUCCGGGAGCGACCAUGUUACGAGGUGGGCAGGGGAACGCAUCUGGGACCCGGACUUCCAUUCGCUUCUCUUUUUGCCGACACUCGUUUCCCCCCCGUUGGGCGAACCGCGGCCCCUGAAGCGGGCGACGCGCUGCUAACGAGCGUUGCGUUUUUAAACGGACCAGCGAGCUGCCGCUGGUUCUUUUAACCGCUUUUCUCCCGCUGGGUUCGCUGUUGCUAGCGUUAGCCUAGCCGCGAUGCUACCGCGGCUAGGCUAACGCUAGCUCAUCGGGAUUUGGGAAAGGUGGGAUUUUUUUUUUUUUUUUCUUCCGUCCUGUGGAGCAGCAGGGCCGAACCCGGGCCGGGUUCACGCACCGUCCCCCGGGGAGGGGGAGGGAGGGAGGG
ensembl:lncRNA